rnacentral:sRNA from 1 species
GCUGGGUGCAGUGGUGCACAUCUGUAAUCCCAGUGGCUCAGGAGGUUGAGGCAGGAGGAUCACAAGUUCAAAGCCAGGCUCAGCAAAAGCAAGGCCCUAAGCAACUCAGUGAGACCCUGUCUCUA